rnacentral:tRNA from 1 species
GAGGGUAUAGCUUGGUGGUAAGAGAGUGUGCUUAGCAUGCAGAAAGUCCUGGGUUCAAUCCCCAGUACCUCCA